AUGUCUCACAGAUCUCUGCUGAGAGCAUGGAAAAAGAAGCAUGAGCUGUCCUUGUGUUCUGCCAUGAGCAUCCAUGCUUGUGUCCCCCUCUGCAGCUGCAGCCUGUUCUGCCAGAAUGAGACAGCAAAGCUUGCUGUAAGACUGUCCUGUACCUAUGGUGUAACAUGCUACACAGAACAGAAAGGACCAAAAUCUGGCCUCAAGUCACUCUCUGUUCUCAGCUUUCUUUUGACCAACUCUUAUACAAGUCAUUAAGGACGCAACUUUAACACCUUCCUUCAUCUAUGGCAAGCUCUAGCUCAAAGUUGCAGCUUGUCGUCAGCCCUGGCACCCAACAGAACACCACCUUCAUCAAACUCCAUCAUGACCAAAGUAUUUACUUCUAAACAACACUUCUCCCUGACUGUGGGAAACCACUGAUCAUAGACGCCAUAUUUGCAAUGAUAAUAUUAUUUAAAGAUACAGACCAGCUCAGAGCUACUUCUGAUCAGCAGCAACUCAUCUAAAGGGACUUGGCCCAUGGUUUGCUGCAUAUCACAGACACACCUCCACACAUCUUGUUGUUUUAAUUCCCUGUUCAUACAUUUGCCUGUGUCAUGAUGGUGCCCAUGCAGCUGAAACAGGACUAUCCUUGCUGUGCCAUCUCUGAGCAAGCUUCGGCUGAGGAUGUGGCUUCAAAACACCACAGCCAAAGAAGAACAGUGGGCAGGCAGUGGGGACACGGGGUUACUUUUCUGUGAGUCACUGAAAAAAAAUCUGCAAAGCAGCCACCUCCGGAGGGAGAAAUAGAUGCCGUCAGCACUCAUGAACCAGGCGCCAUGGACAGGAGCACCUCCCGCUGCUCCCUCUGCCGAGCGCCCGCAGGAGCGCAGCACUGAGCCCGGCUCCAACCGUGCCCGGGCUCCCGUAGCACCGAGAGCAAAUGUAAUGAACCUUAAGUAAGGAGCAAAAGCAGCGAUUGCAAGUUCAUCGCUUGUAAGUGACAGAGAAAAGGCAAGCCGGGGCGGGAGGGAGCUUCUCAUCAAUCACAAGACAACAAAAGUGGACUGAAGUGAUGCAGCUGCAGAAGAAGGCUGAGGUGAUCCCAAGGCCCAGCUGGUGGGGCUGUGUGCUGCGGGACCAAUUCUGCUACACGAGGCAUCAAUGUAACUACAGCAGAUAAAUUUAUGCAAGGUUCUGUUCUAAAAAGUGGGAUCCAACCUCAACCCAGUGCAAAGAAGUGAAAAGUAACAUGUAUGCAAGCAGGUCUUCCUGCUAACUGCGACUAAACUGCAGCCAAAAAAAUUACUCUUUAAAGCAACAGGGAGAGCAAGGACUAUUACUGAGGACAGACCAUCUGACACCAAAACUAAAUUCACUGCUCAUGAAAAGUAUCUGGACCUAAGCACCUGGUGCUCCUUCUGCAGAGAAGCACUCUGCAAACACUCCUGGUUUCUCUUUUUCUGGCUUUGCCAGUUGUCACUCAUUUCUGUCCCACAGGUGAAACACCGAAGAAGAGCAUUAGCUAGAACAGCCCCUGGACACACUGUGUUUGAAUCUGCCAGGAUAAGAACCAGCUAAAAGCAGAUACUGCAUUUCUUGUAAAGGCUCUAGCCAUAAGGUGUUGCCUGAGAUUGUGUGUGAUGUCACCCAUCUCUUCCAGCAGUUUUAAAACAACAAACUGUAUGCGUGUAUAGUUGUAACUACAGAAUAAAUAGCCAGAGGGUAUCUAAGAAAAGACUCA
ensembl:lncRNA